GGCCUUUUGAUUAUAAUUUAAGGUCUAGUCUGCCCAAUGAUUUUUUAAUGGCCGUAGUAUUUUGACUGUGCAAAGGUAGCAUAAUCAUUAGUUUUUAAUUGAAAGCUGGAAUGAAGGGCUGGAUAAGAAAAUUACUGUCUCUAUUUAAUUUUAUUAGAAUUUUAUUUUUAAGUUAAAAAGCUUAAUUGUUAUUAAAAGACGAGAAGACCCUAUAGAAUUUUAUUAAAAGUAAAUUUUUUAUUUUAGAAUUAAUUUAAAAAAUAAAAUUUUAAUUUAGUUGGGGUGAUUGAAAAAUUUAAUUAACUUUUUUUAUUUUAAACCAUUAAUAUAUGAAAAAUUGAUCCAAUAAUUUUGAUUAUAAGAUAAAUUACCUUAGGGAUAACAGCGUAAUUUUUUUAAAAAGUUCUUAUUGAAAAAAAAGAUUGCGACCUCGAUGUUGGAUUAAACUUAAUUUUCGG
rnacentral:rRNA from 1 species